CAGUCGCCAGGUAAUACGGAGGAUCCAAGCGUUAUCCGGAAUCAUUGGGUUUAAAGGGUCCGUAGGCGGUCUUGUAAGUCAGUGGUGAAAGCCCAUCGCUCAACGGUGGAACGGCCAUUGAUACUGCAGGACUUGAAUUAUUGGGAAGUAACUAGAAUAUGUAGUGUAGCGGUGAAAUGCUUAGAGAUUACAUGGAAUACCAAUUGCGAAGGCAGGUUACUACCAAUUGAUUGACGCUGAUGGACGAAAGCGUGGGUAGCGAACAGGAUUAGAUACCCGAGUAGUCCCUGUCUCUUAUACA
rnacentral:rRNA from 1 species